CCUUUUUGAACCUUGGCCUUAAACAGUAUGAAAACCCUUGUUUGAAUUGAUUUACCUUGAGUUGGGUUGAGAAUAAUUGUAUGUGUUGAAAAGGUUCAAGUUUGGGGUUGUAUGGGGAAAGUGAAAGGCAAAAGAAAAAGCAUUGAGUUCAAAAGUUGAAAAAGAAAAAUGCAUGAGAAAAAGAAAGGAGAAGAAGAAAGAAAAAGCAUGAAAAGUGAGCUCAAUGUAAAAAGGAAAAAGGGAAGAAGUUGGUAAUAAGUGAGAUUGGUUAAAAAGAGAGUGUGCUUGAACUUUGAAUGAUGAUUUAAACUCUCUUAACUCAAGGAUUUUGUAUUCUAGAAAAACCAAUUUUUCUUGAUAGCCCAGCCUCAUUACAAGCCUUGGAAAAGUCCUUGUGAUGACAUUUGCAUGUGAGGAUUUUGAUUGUUUUAGAUGAAUGGCAAUAUUGUUUUAUGUGACAUGUUAACAGUAGAUAGUAGAGUGACCUCCUAAACACUUGAGUGAUUGAGUGAAACACUUGCUUGGUGAGAAUUGUUGAAAUCCAUGUUUACAUCUAUGCUUAGUGGAUUCAUCAUUCAUGAACAAAACAUCUGUUGGGAAAAAUUGAUUAUGUGAAAUGAAUUGGAUCGAAAGCACACAUGCAACUUUAUAGGAUUCCACUGAAAAUCUGAAUUGUAUAAUAACUUGUU
rnacentral:lncRNA from 1 species